rnacentral:rRNA from 1 species
ACUCCUACGGGAGGCAGCAGUGGGGAAUAUUGCACAAUGGGCGCAAGCCUGAUGCAGCCAUGCCGCGUGUAUGAAGAAGGCCCUUCGGUUGUAAAGUACUUUCAGCAGUGAGGAAGGUGGAUAUGUUAAUAGCAUAUUCAUUUGACGUUAGCUGCAGAAGAAGCACCGGCUAACUCCGUGCCAGCAGCCGCGGUAAUACGGAGGGUGCGAGCGUUAAUCGGAAUUACUGGGCGUAAAGCGCAUGCAGGUGGUUUGUUAAGUCAGAUGUGAAAGCCCGGGGCUCAACCUCGGAAUUGCAUUUGAAACUGGCAAACUAGAGUACUGUAGAGGGGGUAGAAUUUCAGGUGUAGCGGUGAAAUGCGUAGAGAUCUGAAGGAACUACGGUAGCGAAGGCGGCCCCCUGGACAGAUACUGACACUCAGAUGCG